GUACAGUUGACAUCUGAUGCAGAUUUAAGAUAUUUAACCCCUUAACGAUCAUGGCAGAAUAAGACAAUUCGGAUAUAAAGGAAUUUUGCUUAAUCUGUGGUCGUCCAUGGGUUAAUAUAAAGCUGCAGAGGAGUGGGGAUUGGGAACAGUAUUGUAAUUAAGGCAAACUGCAGACAAUUAAGACUUGCAGCAAUAGGUAAAUGACGAAAUGACAUAAAAUAAUAAAAAUCAAAG